rnacentral:rRNA from 1 species
UAGGGAAUCUUCGGCAAUGGACGAAAGUCUGACCGAGCAACGCCGCGUGAGUGAAGAAGGUUUUCGGAUCGUAAAACUCUGUUGUUAGAGAAGAACAAGGACGUUAGUAACUGAACGUCCCCUGACGGUAUCUAACCAGAAAGCCACGGCUAACUACGUGCCAGCAGCCGCGGUAAUACGUAGGUGGCAAGCGUUGUCCGGAUUUAUUGGGCGUAAAGCGAGCGCAGGCGGUUUCUUAAGUCGGAUGUGAAAGCCCCCGGCUCAACCGGGGAGGGUCAUUGGAAACAGGGAGACUUGAGUGCAGAAGAGGGGAGUGGAAUUCCAUGUGUAGCGGUGAAAUGCGUAGAUAUAUGGAGGAACACCAGUGGCGAAGGCGGCUCUCUGGUCUGUAACUGACGCUGAGGCUCGAAAGCGUGGGGAGCAAACAGG